UACGUAGGGACCGAGCGUUGUCCGGAUUCAUUGGGCGUAAAGAGCUCGUAGGCGGCCACUCAAGUCGAAUGUGAAACCUCGAGGCUUAACCUCGAGCCUGCAUUCGAUACUGGGCGGCUAGAGUCUGGUAGGGGGAUCUGGAAUUCCUGGUGUAGCGGUGGAAUGCGCAGAUAUCAGGAGGAACACCGGUGGCGAAGGCGGCAUACUGGACCACCACUGACGCUGAUGCGCGAAAGCGUGGGGAGCAAACAGG
rnacentral:rRNA from 1 species